GUGGGGGUGAGGGACAGACAGGGAGGGGGUAAGAGACAUAGGAAGACUGGUGUGUAAUAUGGAGUGAGGGGUGAGGGACAGAUGAGGAGUGGGGGUGAGGGACAGACAGGGAGGGGGUAAGAGACAUAGGAAGACUGGUGUGUAAUAUGGAGUGAGGGGUGAGGGACAGAUGAGGAGUGGGGGUGAGGGACAGACAGGGAGGGGGUAAGAGACAUAGGAAGACUGGUGUGUAAUAUGGAGUGAGGGGUGAGGGACAGAUGAGGAGGGUGGGUGAGGGACAGAUGAGGAGUGGGGGUGAGGGACAGACAGGGAGGGGGGGGGUGUGAGGGACAGACAGGGAGGGGGGGGGUAAGAGACAUAGGAAGACUGGUGUGUAAUAUGGAGUGAGGGGUGAGGGACAGAUGAGGAGGGGGUGUGAGGGACAGACAGGGAGGGGGGGGUGUGAGGGACAGACAGGGAGGGGGGAGGGGGUAAGAGACAUAGGAAGACUGGUGUGUAAUAUGGAGUGAGGGGUGAGGGACAGAUGAGGAGUGGGGGUGAGGGACAGACAGGGAGGGGGUAAGAGACAUAGGAAGACUGGUGUGUGAUAUGGAGUGAGGGGUGAGGGACAGACAGGGAGGGGGUAAGAGACAUAGGAAGACUGGUGUGUAAUAUGGAGUGAGGGGUGAGGGACAGAUGAGGAGUGGGGGUGAGGGACAGAUGAGGAGGGGGUGUGAGGGACAGAUGAGGAGGGGUGUGAGGGACAGACAGGGAGGGGGGGGGGGUGUGAGGGACAGACAGGGGGGGGUGUGAGGGACAGACAGGGAGGGGGUAAAAGACAUAGGAAGACUGGUGUGUGAUAUGGAGUGAGGGGUGAAGGACAGAGGGGAAGGGGAAUCAAACAGAGCAGGAAGCCGA